CUUUCUAAUACUUUAGGAUUUUUUAUUAGUUAUAUUUUCCCCACUUUAAAUCAUUUUUACUAUUCAUGCAUAUUUCUAUUCUUCAAACAAAAUUCCACUUCUACAACUACUACUUACAUCACUUCUACUUCAACUAGUCUUGCUACUAUUAGUACUAGAAAACAAUUAAAAUGAAUUGAUUGAACCACUGCCUUUCCGUGGUGUGAAGUCUGACAUUUCCGAGUGUCCCUGAACGCCUCAAACAUUUCUACCGUGACUUACGGGUGGCUCGCGCUAUCCUCCUCCGACCUCGACGAAGGUGAGUCAGAGCACAGUCUCUCUAACUUCUGAACACUUCAAACGGUGAUUUAACGUUUCAAAAGACACUGGUUUGAGUUAUAAUCAAUGAAGAGUUCAUUCAUGAUUGAAGUGGUCGAGAUAAUGAGCUGAAAAAGCAUACGCUAACGCUGUUAGCGUCGAGUUAGCGCCGCUAGCGUCGAGCUAGCGCCGCUAGCGUCGAGCUAACGUUAAAGCUAACAUACCUUCAGCUGUGAGGCUGAAUCAUUGGCCAGCUGAGCACAAAAUAAAGUGAAUAUGUAAGCCGCUGUGGUACUAUAAAGCAUGCCAAAUGAUGUACAGGCUGUGGAGUUUAUUGACAAUGGGACUGACAAGAAUACUUAUAUUGUCAAGUAUUAACUGACUAACUAGCUAACUAAUGACGCUAGCGCUAUUGCUACAGGUUCAGUUCAUUACUGUGACUGAGUCAUUGCUGGGGAACUGGUCUGGAGACGUCAGCUGUUUAGCUCCUGGUCACUUUUUAUCAGCCAUUGUAGAUGUAUUAAAAUAUAGGCUGCAUUUAGCAAGCAUCCAGGUAUAGCACAAAUGUGAGUGGUUUUCCUUUUUUUGUGUGUCAGAAUGGAACUAGAUGGUCCUCUAUUAUUGAAGGUUUUAUUCAUGAUGGGGAUGAAUUUUUAUGUUUUUACAUUGCAAAACAUAAAAUGAAUUCAGUAUUUAAUGUUUAACAAUAUGAAGUUCCAAUUAAUAAAUAUAUUCCAGUUGAAUUUCCCUUCUUAUCUUAAUAUGGAGUUGAUGGAUGGAGAGUCAGCUGCCUUGAAAUUGGUGAACCUGCUCCUGGUCUGUCUCUGUCUUGCUCGCUGCUGCUGAACUUCACCUUCUGCUGUACCUAAUUUACUUUUGAUAACAAGCUGUUAAUUUGGAUAUUGGUGAUGUGCUAACACCACAGCAAAGAUACUUUAUCUGAGGUGUAUAUACUUUAAUACAGUAUGUAUUAUGUGUGACAUUUUCAGCUGCAGCUAACAGCCAGGUGAUCUGUUGGAGCUGUUUAGUUUUCAAUUAGCCCAACUACUGUAAUAAUGUUAGUUUUCUUUAUAGGCCUAUUGUUUUUAAUGUACUAUCUGUCAGACAACACUAAUGUAUUGUUUCUUGUCUCAAACAAACAGAAGAUACAUCCUCACCAGUGCAUUUGUUGGUAAGUAUAAGUGUUUUGACCAAGACUGACAACAAACAAAAUAAAAAUAACUGGAUUAAUGAUUAGCUUAAUCCUGUUAAACAACAUGUCAUUCAAGAUAAUCUACAACAUAUGAUGCAUUUUUCAAGUACUGAGUUUAAAUUGAUACGAAAUGUUGAUCUAUCUGUAACACUGUUGUAUAUCCUAUAUGAAAAUCAUAGAUGGGAUACAGUUUUUUCCUAGAAGACAAUAGUGUGCUAACAAUAUUACUACACUACUGAACUAAUUUAUUUAAAAAAUGCUGGCGAAAGUCUGAAUCUUGAUUGUGACAAUAAUUAAGUGAGAAAAUCAUUCAGAUAAAUUUUGAAUGAAGUGGUUUUUUUAGUGUAUUAAAAAUCUCUUUCCCUCCCUCUCCCCCCUCCUCCUGCCUCAACUUGUCCUCUGACCUGGGCGAAAAUCCCUAUCAACUCUGAAGUGUAAGUUCACGCUUAAAGCCAGGUCCAUAAAUAUUGGGACAUCAGCAUAAUACUCAUCUCUCUGGCUGUAAACACCACCACAGUUGACUUUAAAUGAAACAAACAAGAUGUGCUUUGACUGCAGACAUUCAGCUUUAAUUUAUGGUUAUUUACAUCCACAUUAGGUGAAAGGUGUAGGAAUUAAAACAGUUUGUAUAUGUGCCUCUCACUUUUUAAGGGACCAAAAGUAUUGGGACAAACCAAAAAUCAUACAUCAAACUUUCACUUUUCAAUAUAUGGUUGCAAAUCCUUUGCUGUCUAAGACAGAUAGAUACACCAGACGCUGGGUUUCACCCCUAGUGUUGCUCUGCCAGGCCUCGACUGCAACUGUCUUCAGUUCCUGCUUGUUCUUGGUGCAUUUUCUCUUUAGUUUUAUCUUCAGCAAGUGAAAUGCACGCUCAAACGGAUUCAGGUCAGGUGAUUGACUUGGCCAUUUCCUAACAUUCCACUUCUUUGCCCUACACCGUGCACCUGAUUUGGAUGUAAAUACCCUUAAAUUAAAGCUGAAUGUCAGCAGUCAAAGCACACCAUGUUUGUUUCAGUUCAAAUCCAUUGUGGUGGUGUUUACAGCCAGAGAGAUGAGAAUUGUGUUGACGUCCCAAUAUUUAUGGACCUGAUGGUAUAUAUAUACUUAUUGGGCAAUCACUUAAAUGUUACAUUUUUGCUCUGCAGUUUAUAAUUAUAUUUCACUGUUUUGUAUUUCACCUCAAUAAUUUGCAUAAGAAAGUAAAAAGUGAAGAGGUCCUUCAUUGUGUUUGUGCAUUUUCUCUCCAUUAUAACAAACAUUUUUUACAGGCCAAGGGAGCUGCAGUAACAUCCUUUUACUAAUCAAGUGCCACAAAUUGUAGACUUUGAUAAGAAAUGAGAAAACUAAUGAUCCACAGUGAAAAGUUGUGAUUGCAGUAAACUAUAAGAUGCUGAUUUUUUUGCAACUAAAUUUAUUUACUUUUUGUCCCUGUCUUUUCUCUCCUGAACUCGAUGCUAUCUCUACUGCUGGCCCUAUUCAGUGUUGGCGACUCAGCUGUAAGUUCACAAAUAAAGUAAUUUAAAAAUGUUUACACUGUUACUUUUUUAAACAUAUCAUGUAAAAACCUGACAUUAUGUUCUUAUUUGACAAACUGCAACACAUUUUCAUUGUAACACAAACCAUUUUAAAUAACACUUAAUUAAUUUUGCCGGCUGACUACAGUUGAAACUGCAAUGCAGUGAGAUACAAUUAAACUAAAAAUCUCUUGUCUCUAUUUUUCCAUUUUCCUUUUUGCCAACUUUGUCCUGUCUCCAAGUGCAGACCGCUUUGUGGCGACUCGACGUAAGUUCACACAGGAAUUACAUUUCAUGAGUAAUACAGUGUGCCAUUAUUCAACACAUUAUGGACCCCUCAUCAUGUCCUAACUUAACAAUUUGUUUCCUUUGAUUAUGUAAUACUCACAGUUGGAAAUGAACAGCUUGAAUGUAAUAUGCAGUACACUUAUUUGCAUUUCAUUUCCAAUCCCUGGAAAGCAAUUUAUUACUAUUAGAUUGUGGAGUUGGAAUUUUUUAACGAUGAAAAUCCAAAUAAUUACUAAUUGAAUGUGAUUCCCUCCUUUGUGCAUCGCUCAUAUUAAAAAAAACAAGCAAAUUUAAUGUUCCUUAAUAUGGAAUAGACAAUCAUUAUUUAUGCAGCCAUUGAUUUAUUUUAUUAUUCAUUUAAUCCUAUGUUUAGAUAUGUGUAUAUCCUUCUAAGGUACCUUGCAUGCUUCUGUUUACAGCUCAUGGAGGUGCUUGGCCUCAUUACUACUUUUUACAUUGUUGGAAUACUUAAAACACAGUAAAGGAAAUUACCUUCUCCAAAAUACAUAAUAUUUUAUCAGCAGAGUAAUCCAUUGUUACUUUUGCUUAGCAGGACAUGGUUAUGAACAUUAUAAAGGGAACUUAAAGUACUUAAAGAGUCUAAAAUACACAGGGAUAAUAGAACUUUUUGUAAAAUACUUUGAGGUCCUAAAUUUAAAAAGGUGGCUCUGUGGUUGGAUUCAAGUUUGACUCACUGGAGGAUGUGGUGGAGAGAUGUACUGUGAGGAAGGUGGAGGCUAUUCUAGAGAACAUGGCUCACCCACUUCACAACACCUUGGUGGACCGAAAGGCCUAUGGUGGUGGACGGCUCCUCUCUCUUCGCUGCAGGAAAAAAAGAUUCAAAAGAUCUUUUGUACCCACAGCCAUGAGACUCUACAAUUUAAAUAGUAGAUGACUUUUUCAGACGUGACAAAUGAGACUAUAGACAAUUGAAUUUCCCUUAGGGGAUAAAUAAAGUUCUUCGUAUCUUAAAUUAAUUUUUGAUUAACUAUAAUGAACACUUUGGAUUUUUAGUCCUUAUUAAUUUGUUUGAAGGGUUAUCGAACAAGACAAUGGUCACUUCCAGCUUUUGACUCAACUUGACUUUUGAUAGAUGUAUAGUUGAGGACAGCCACUUGAUGGGUUGAGUAAAAGUACAUUAUGAUGCCAUUAGCUUUGGGUGGAUGUUGGUUUAUUUUAUUUUAUUUCUUUAAUAAAAAGGGAUUAAUGUUUGUUUCCAUUGUGUCUUACAGGUAUCCUGUCCAGUCUCCCCACUCUCCCCUAUCAUUUUGAUCGCUCUGUCUUUCCUGUCUCCUCUACCACUCUGUCUGAUUGAAAAGCACUCUGUCUUGUGUCCCCCUUUCUUCUAUCCCUCUGGCUAAGUUUUGGACGCUCUGUCUUUCCUGUCUCCUCUACCACUCUGUCUGAUUGAAAAGCAACUCUGUCUUUCUAUCCCCCUUCUAUCCCACUCUGACUCAUUGCAGAACUUUGCAGAACUUUGCAGAACUUUUCAGAACUUUGCAGAACAUUUCAGAACUUUGCAGAACUUUGCAGAACUUUUCAGAACUUUGCAGAACUUUGCAGAACUUUGCAGAACAUUUGAGAACCUAUUUUGAGAACCUAUUUUGAGAACCUAUUUUGAGAAACCUUUUGAAACAAGCAACCUUUCUUUGAGUCAAAACUUUUGAAACGGAAGUACAUUUAAUACAACCGCUAUUUUGAAAAAUCCCUAAUUUUGCACAAGUCUGAUUGUUGUUCUAGGUCCUCCUCUCCUGUCUGUGAAUCCAGAGUUUCGCCAGAAGACGUGUCGUCAGCUACACCACAUCUGCAUACCUGACUUUGAAAGAACAUAAAAACACGUUUUAUAUAGAAUAUUUGAGUUGCAUAGUAUUUCAAACACAAAGUUCUAAGAUUAAAAAAUUGUUGAUUUGUGUUUUUUCUUCAAACAUUUACAUAGUCUUGCCUAGG